rnacentral:rRNA from 1 species
UCUGUUUGAUCCUGGCUCAGGAUGAACGCUAGCGACAGGCCUAACACAUGCAAGUCGAGGGGCAGCGGGGGUGUAGCAAUACAUCUGCCGGCGACCGGCGCACGGGUGAGUAACACGUAUGCAACCAACCCGUAACAGGGAGAUAACCCGGGGAAAUCCGGACUAAUAUCCCAUGGUAUCACGGUUCCGCAUGGAACUGUGAUUAAAUUUACGAAGGUUACGGACGGGCAUGCGCUCCAUUAGCCAGUUGGCGGGGUAACGGCCCACCAAAGCCACGAUGGAUAGGGGUUCUGAGAGGAAGGUCCCCCACAUUGGAACUGAGACACGGUCCAAACUCCUACGGGAGGCAGCAGUGAGGAAUAUUGGUCAAUGGACGGAAGUCUGAACCAGCCAAGUCGCGUGAAGGAAGACAGUCGGUAAGAUCGUAAACUUCUUUUAUCAGGGAGUAACCGCCGCUACGCGUAGCGGCCUGCAAGUACCUGAAGAAAAAGCAUCGGCUAACUCCGUGCCAGCAGCCGCGGUAAUACGGAGGAUGCGAGCGUUAUCCGGAUUUAUUGGGUUUAAAGGGUGCGUAGGCGGGAUGCCAAGUCAGCGGUGAAAACUCCGGGCUCAACCCGGACCCCGCCGUUGAAACUGGUAACCUAGAGAGUAUUGGAAGUAAGCGGAAUGCGUGGUGUAGCGGUGAAAUGCAUAGAUAUCACGCAGAACCCCGAUUGCGAAGGCAGCCUGCUAGGGUGCGACAGACGCUGAGGCACGAAAGCGUGGGUAUCGAACAGGAUUAGAUACCCUGGUAGUCCACGCAGUAAACGAUGAAUACUCACCGUUUGCGAUAUAAUGUAAGCGGUAAAGCGAAAGCGUUAAGUAUUCCACCUGGGGAGUACGCCGGCAACGGUGAAACUCAAAGGAAUUGACGGGGGCCCGCACAAGCGGAGGAACAUGUGGUUUAA